rnacentral:rRNA from 1 species
GACGAACGCUGGCGGCGUGCUUAACACAUGCAAGUCGAACGGCAGCGGGGGAGAAGCUUGCUUUUCCUGCCGGCGAGUGGCGAACGGGUGAGUAAUACAUCGGAACGUGCCCUGUAGUGGGGGAUAACUAGUCGAAAGAUUAGCUAAUACCGCAUACGACCUGAGGGUGAAAGUGGGGGACCGUAAGGCCUCAUGCUAUAGGAGCGGCCGAUGUCUGAUUAGCUAGUUGGUGGGGUAAAGGCCUACCAAGGCGACGAUCAGUAGCUGGUCUGAGAGGACGAUCAGCCACACUGGGACUGAGACACGGCCCAGACUCCUACGGGAGGCAGCAGUGGGGAAUUUUGGACAAUGGGCGAAAGCCUGAUCCAGCAAUGCCGCGUGUGUGAAGAAGGCCUUCGGGUUGUAAAGCACUUUUGUCCGGAAAGAAAUGGCUCUGGUUAAUACCUGGGGUCGAUGACGGUACCGGAAGAAUAAGGACCGGCUAACUACGUGCCAGCCGCCGCAGUAA